CACCUUGUAUAGUCUCAAGGUUCAAUUUUAUAUAAGGUUAUAAUAAAAUGGGAAACUAUGUAUCUAAGUUUUAGGUAACUUGGGUCAUAACUUUAUUUGUAGUGCACAGAUUAGGUUGGUUUUUGUUUCAAAAGUUUCUUUGGACUGUUCUUAAGCUUCCAUUAAAAAAAUGAAACAAAUCCGUGCAAUAGAAAUUUUUUUAUUCAAGUUUUUGGAAAUCAUGUCCGAGAACAAAGACAGUUUCAGGUAACUUGGUUCAUAACUCCACUUCUAGUGAACAUAUUGACUUGAUUUUUGUUUUAAAAGUUUCUUUGGACUGUUCUUAAGCUAUUAUUAAAAAAAUGAAUCAAAUCCGUGCAAUAGAAAUUUUUUUAUUUAAGUUUUUGGAAAGCAUGUCCGAGAACAAAGACAGUUUCAGGUAACUUGGGUCAUAACUCCACUUUUAGUGAACAUAUUGACUUGAUUUUUAUUGUAAAAGUUUCUUUGGACUGUUCUUAAGCUUCUAUUGAAAAAAUGAAGCAAAUCCGUGCAAUAGAAAUUUUUUUAUUCAAGUUUUUGGAAAUCAUGUCCGAGAACAAAGACAGUUUCAGGUAACUUGGGUCAUAACUCCACUUCUAGUGAACAUAUUGACUUGAUUUUUCUUUUAAAAUUUUCUUUGGACUGUUCUUAAGCUUCUAUUGAAAAAAUGAAGCAAAUCCGUGCAUUACAAGUUUUUUUAUUCAAGUUUUUGGAAAUCAUGUCCAAGAACAAAGACAGUUUCAGGUAACUUGUGUCAUAACUCCACUUCUAGUGAACAUAUUGACUUGAUUUUUGUUUUAAAAGUUUCUUUGGACUGUUCUUAAGCUAUUAUUAAAAAAAUGAAUCAAAUCCGUGCAAUAGAAAUUUUUUUAUUUAAGUUUUUGGAAAUCAUGUCCGAGAGCCAAGACAGUUUUAAGUAACUUGUGUCAUAACUCCACUUCUAGUGAACAUAUUGACUUGAUUUUUAUUUUAAAAGUUUCUUUGGGCUGUUCUUAAGCUAUUAUUAAAAAAAUGAAUCAAACCCGUGCAAUAGAAAUUUUUUUAUUCAAGUUUUUGGAAAUCAUGUCCGAGAACAAAGACGGUUUCAGUUCUAGUGCUCAGAUUGACUUGAUUUUUGUCUUAAAAGUUUAUAUGGACCCUCCUUCAGCGUUUACUGAAAAAAUAAAUCAAAUCCCUCCAUUAGAAUUUCUUUUAUUCACAUUUUAAUAAGACC